GAUGAACGCUAGCUACAGGCUUAACACAUGCAAGUCGAGGGGAAACGAUAGAGAAAGCUUGCUUUUUCUAGGCGUCGACCGGCGCGCGGGUGAGUAACGCGUAUCCAACCUGCCCACCACUUGGGGAUAACCUUGCGAGAGUAAGACUAAUACCCAAUGACGUCCAUAGAAGACAUCUGAAAUGGAUUAAAGAUUUAUCGGUGAUGGGUGGGGAUGCGUCUGAUUAGCUUGUUGGCGGGGUAACGGCCCACCAAGGCGACGAUCAGUAGGGGGUCUGGGAGGAAGGUCCCCCACAUUGGAACUGAGACACGGUCCAAACUCCUACGGGAGGCAGAAGUGAGGAAUAUUGGUCAAUGGGCGAGAGCCUGAACCAGCCAAGUAGCGUGCAGGAUGACGGCCCUAUGGGUUGUAAACUGCUUUUAUAAGGGAAUAAAGUGAGCCUCGUGAGGCUUUUUGCAUGUACCUUAUGAAUAAGGACCGGCUAAUUCCGUGCCAUCCGCCGCAGUAA
rnacentral:rRNA from 1 species